rnacentral:rRNA from 1 species
UACAGAGGGGGCAAGCGUUGUUCGGAAUUACUGGGCGUAAAGGGCGCGUAGGCGGCCUGCUAAGUCGAACGUGAAAUCCCUGGGCUCAACCCAGGAACUGCGUCCGAUACUGGUUGGCUUGAAUCCGGGAGAGGGACGUGGAAUUCCAGGUGUAGCGGUGAAAUGCGUAGAUAUCUGGAGGAACACCGGUGGCGAAGGCGGCAUCCUGGACCGGUAUUGACGCUGAGGCGCGAAAGCGUGGGGAGCAAACAGG